rnacentral:lncRNA from 1 species
GGAGAAGUCGCCCGGUUUCUGCUUGCUGGUCGCGAAAUUUUAUAGCUAUAAUUAACUCAGGGCGGAACAGCUAGCAGAAUCCUCAGCGUUCGGGCAAAGGGCAGAGAAUCCAGCCAGAAGCAACAUGUGUAAGUUGUUACAUUCAGUCCGGGCUCAGUGUCAUUCAAUUUUACAAAAUUUUGUUGUGUGCUGACUCUGCCAGCGACUGUGCUGAGGGCUUUGCCCCCAAAAUUGCCUUCGAAAUGUAGUGAGGGGGGCGGGCGUAGUGGCUCACUCCUGUAAUCCCACCACUGUGGGAAGCCGAGGCGGGCCGAUCAC